rnacentral:rRNA from 1 species
GUUAAAACUCAAAUGAAUUGACGGGGGCCCGCACAAGCGGUGGAGCAUGUGGUUUAAUUCGAUGCAACGCGAAGAACCUUACCUACUCUUGACAUCCAGAGAAUUUAGCAGAGAUGCUUUAGUGCCUUCGGGAACUCUGAGACAGGUGCUGCAUGGCUGUCGUCAGCUCGUGUUGUGAAAUGUUGGGUUAAGUCCCGCAACGAGCGCAACCCUUAUCCUUUGUUGCCAGCACAUUAUGGUGGGAACUCAAAGGAGACUGCCGGUGAUAAACCGGAGGAAGGUGGGGAUGACGUCAAGUCAUCAUGGCCCUUACGAGUAGGGCUACACACGUGCUACAAUGGCGUAUACAAAGAGAAGCGACCUCGCGAGAGCAAGCGGAACUCAUAAAGUACGUCGUAGUCCGGAUUGGAGUCUGCAACUCGACUCCAUGAAGUCGGAAUCGCUAGUAAUCGUAGAUCAGAAUACUACGGUGAAUACGUUCCCGGGCCUUGUACACACCGCCCGUCACACCAUGGGAGUGGGUUGCAAAAGAAGUAGGUAGCUUAACCUUCGGGAGGGCGCUUACCACUUUGUGAUUCAUGACUGGGGUGAAGUCGUAACAAGGUAACCA